rnacentral:rRNA from 1 species
AGUGAACGCUGGCGGCAGGCCUAACACAUGCAAGUCGAACGGCAGCACAGUAAGAUUGCGCUCUUACGGGUGGCGAGUGACGGAUGAGUAAGGCGUAGAUCGCCAUCUAAUUUUACGUGGAGGACAACGGAAGGCAACUUCUGCUACUACCUCAUACGUCCUACGGGUGAAUGCAGUGGAGCAUCGGACCUUGCGCGUCUGAUUGAGCCGAUGUCGGAUUAGCUAUUUGGCGGGGUAAAGGCCCACCAAGGCGACGAUCCGUAGCUGGUCUGAGAGGAUGAUCAGCCACACUGGAACUGAGACACGGUCCAGACUCCUACGGGAGGCAGCAGUAGGGAAUAUUGGGCAAUGGGCGCAAGCCUGAUCGAGCAAUGCCGCGUGAGUGAAGAAGGCCUUCGGAUCGUAAAACUCUUUUGUUAGGGAAGAAAAACAGCAUGUGUAAACCCCGCCGUUUUGACGGUACCUAAACAGAAAGCAACGGCUAACUUCGUG